UGAACUUAAUUAUUUUUGAUGUUCAAGUGGUCCCAGGUGUGGCCAGUGGGAGCCCCUCCAAGCCGGUUCCUGUGUCCUGGUGACAUGCUUCCAUCAUUUUGGGGGUGGUGGUGGGCACUUCCAUGCUUUCUAGCAAAACAAGGUGCUCCAGACUUAUCUUGAAACUUCGUGGGCUCCAGUCCUGGAAUCAGCCCUUUCUCCCAGAAGCCCUGGUUCCUUUGGGGAAAUAACCACAGGGUGAGUCUGGGGAGCUGAUGAGCUCCCUGUGAGGUAGAUCCUGGACCAAACCUGGACACAGCCCAAUGUCCAACAACAGUGGCCACUUUCCAGAGCCUGGUUGCAAGUUAAAAGAAUGAUGACUACGAGAACUCAAGCGGAGAAAGACAGGAACCAUCCUGGUAAGGGUCAUGUUAGCCUUCCCGAGGUUUUGAACAAUUUGUUUCAACAGAGAUAUGACAUGCUGGUAGCUUUGAGGGCAACGUGAGCCUAGGCAGGGCCCAAGGCUCUCCAGGCCAUUCUGCAGACACCCCACGCACAAAGAGCCUUAAGCCUCACUCAGACAACAGCAAUCAGUGCGCAGACCUGGCCCACCCCUCCCGUUGUCCUGCCCCCUAUAUUUCCUCUAGCCCCGCCCCUGCAGUGCGCAGAC